rnacentral:rRNA from 1 species
GAUGAACGCUAGCGGCAGGCUUAACACAUGCAAGUCGAGGGGUAGAAGUUGCUUGCAACUUUGGGACCGGCGCACGGGUGCGUAACACGUAUGCAAUCUACCUUAUACAGAGGGAUAGCCCAGAGAAAUUUGGAUUAAUACCUCAUAGUAUAAUUGAAUGGCAUCAUUUAAUUAUUAAAGUUCCAACGGUAUAAGAUGGGCAUGCGUCCUAUUAGCUAGAUGGUAAGGUAACGGCUUACCAUGGCAACGAUAGGUAGGGGUCCUGAGAGGGAGAUCCCCCACACUGGUACUGAGACACGGACCAGACUCCUACGGGAGGCAGCAGUGAGGAAUAUUGGACAAUGGGCGCAAGCCUGAUCCAGCCAUGCCGCGUGCAGGAAGAAGCAUCUAUGGUGUGUAAACUGCUUUUGUACGGGAAGAAACACCCCUUCGUGAAGGGACUUGACGGUACCGUAAGAAUAAGGAGCUCCAAACUCUGUGCCAGCCGCCGCAGUAA